rnacentral:lncRNA from 1 species
CUCCGUGAGCUCCAGCUUCUCCUGCGCGUCCUUCAGGUCCUCGGAAUAUUUAUCCAGCUCGUCCUCUGUCCCUUUUAGUUUCUUCUGGAGGUGCGUCAGCUCCUCCUCCACCUGGGGACGACAGAGCGAGGAACGGGUCAGCCUGGGGGGGGGGUCACGUCCCCGAGGUGCAGGGGCGGUCCCCCCCAAUAUUCACAAGAGUCCUCCGUCUCUCUCUGGGCAUCAGUUUCCUUAUCUGUAGAACAGGGGUUGCGAUAGCAUGCACCACGCCAUCCAUGCUACCUGAUAGUGGGAUUUUCACAUCUUUCCCUCGUCCUGAGGACCAGCUGUUUUGGGCUUAUUGGGGUCCCCAGUACUCUAGGGAGAUCAAUGGCAGCUUUUGGGAAACUGAAGACUCCAAAUGUUUUCCAGAAAUACACACAUUCCAGUUUCAGAGGUGCAGCCUCACCAUGAUCUGGAGUUAAGCAAUCUCAUUCUCUGCGCGUGGAUCCCUCCGCCCAUCCCUGUCCCCAGCCUUUCUCCCUCUGGUUCUGACCCCAACACGGGGUCAGAGAAACUUUCUAACAAAUACGCCUGCCCUCUUUCUGCCUAGAACCUGCUAUGGCUCCCUAUGGCCCAAGGCAGUGGUUCUUAGACUGUCUUACCAAAAUACUCUGAAGGGCUGAAGGGCUCAGACCUAGUCCCUCAUUUCUGGGCUUUGGGGAGCUUGGCUAGAAGAGACUCGCCCCUACAGGAUCACUUUCUUUGAAGGCUCGGGUUAAAUCUUUAAAAUUUUUGCAUAUAGGCCAUGUUCAUUUUAAUAAAAAUGUCCCCUACUUUCCCUAAAUUUUCAGUCCUCUGUUUAUCCCAAGAGUCCUAUCCUCCCAUCACUCCUAGUUUGAGAAGCUCAGGCCUAUGGAUUACAAACCACAGACCCCAUCACCUCUCUUUGUCACCCCCCACCACACCGGUCUAGAGUUGGCUCAAGAAGACUUUUCUGUCACCUCCAGGCUGAAACUCCCUCCCUGGGCCCCCAACUCUGGAUUAGGGUGAUCAUAUCCAGCUCAUGCCUGGAUCUGACUUUUUUUUUUGAGAGUCUCGCUCUGUCACCAAGGCUGGAGUGCAGUGGCACGAUCUCAGCUCACUGCAACCUCCGCCUCCUGGGUUCAAGUGAUUCUCCUGCCUCAACCUCCCCGGUAGCUGGUACUACAGGUGCACACCACCACGACUGACUAAUUUUUGUAUUUUCAGUAGAGACAGGGUUUUGCAAUAUUGGCCAGGCAGGUCUCAAACUCCUGACCUCAAGUGAUCUGCCCGCCUCGGCCUCCCAAAUUGCUGGGAUUGCAGGCGUGAGUCGCCACACCUGGCUUGGAUCUGACUUUUGCCUUAGAUGGUUUGACACUGAUCUUGUUCCUGCUCCCAGGGUGGGCAGACAGCCCCCACUGAGCCCAGCUUCAUUCUCCUGCUUCCUCCCCACAGCAGGAGGCUCAGAGAGGUGGGAUGACUUUCCCCAGGUCACACAGCACAGGGUUUGAGCCCAGGUCUUCUGGAAUAUAAGCCUAUAAUGAACUGAAUGCUUGCUUUUGCCCCCUCUCCAAUUCAUGUGUUGAAGCCCUCAUCUCCAUGUGAUGGUAAUUGGUGAUGGGGCCUUUGGAAGAUGAUGAGGUUUGGGUGAGGUCAUGAGGGUUGACCCACCAUGAUGGGAUUAAGGCCCUUAUGAGAAGAGGCCAGAACUUGGUUAUCCUCUUCCAAUGUGAGGACACAGCAAGAAGGUGGCUGUCUGCAAGCUAGCUAGAGAGCGCUCACCAGACAUUUAAUCUGCCAGCAUCUUGAUCUUGGACAUCUAGCCUCCAGACUGUAAACAAUAAAUGUCUAUUACUGA